AGGAAAGGAAUUUUUUGAUGUUUGGGGCUCUGAGACUGUCAGUUUAAAAAAUGAAGGUAAUAUAGAAGGGCCAAAGUGACAUUUAUCAUGCCAUCUCUCCAGGCUCCUGUCUCUUUAAUCAGCUAGCCUGAUUUGCCCAGUAAAUGAUUCCUGAGAGUGUGUAUGUGUGCGCGCGCGUGUGUGCCCGCGCGUGUGUGUGGUAGCUCUGUCAAUCCUUGGAUUAGAACCAAUGAUUGCAGCUCGUAGGAGGGCUGUCCAGGGCCAGAUUGUACGAUGUGUCUCAGUGCCAGAGUAUGAGGAGAGAUAAUUACUGAGAAGUCACACUCUCCCAUCCUUGGCUUUCUUGUGGUGUCCUUCAGCAAAACAGUGGAUUUAAACCUCCUUCCUCCAGCUCGAGAGCAACGCAAUCUGUCAGGAAAGAAAGAAAGAGAAAACCGAACCUGACAAAAAAGAAGAAAAAGAAGAAAAAAAAAUCAUGAAAACCAUCCAGGCAAAAAUGCACAAUUCUAUCUCUUGGGCAAUCUUCACGGCUCUGGCUGCUCUGUUUCUCUUUCAAGAGACAGCGUAAUUCGUCUAUAUUAUCAUCACUGUCAUCGUCAUCGUCCUCGGCAGCAGCAGGGACAUCACAGCUUUCAGCACUUGCUGGAAACCUUAGCCGUGCCCAUACCUGUCCUCCCAGCCUGAGAGCAUCAAACACAUAACACGGAGGGUGUGCUGGUCAGGCUGCAGGUUCCAUGAGAUAGAUGCAUGUCCGGUGUCCAGGUGAGAUGCAUGGGCCACUCAAAUUUGUAAGUGGUCAGAGGCUGGAAAGAAAGGAAACCGCGCCCCCCCCCAAAUGUAGUACAUAAAUUCAGGAAAUAAAGAUUGAUUGUAUUGUGGUAGAAUAAAAGAGUGAGACAUGAAAUUUGUCUUCCAGAUUUUAAGCGAGGAUGCCUA
rnacentral:lncRNA from 1 species